AAACUUGCAAUUUCCAGUGCAAAAGACUAUAAUCCAGUGGUCGUGCAAACGAUGAUGAUUCUGAAUCCGUUGUGAAAUAGUCAUUAUGGACUGGGGGGCGGUACCCCACAGCUCCACCAUUUCCUGAUACGAUUUAUGGUCGUAUUUGGUUAUGGGGCUGACAUAGAUUCGACAGAUGAUGAAAGACAAACUGGGUGAAUCCGACGUGGUGUCGUUAAAAGCCAAAUAAAAACUGAAUGGCGAUAGAAUCGCUGCGAACGACAAUGUUCGCCUUGCAAUGGCUGCCUAAGUAUGGCGUUGAACAUGGUUGGCAAUCGUUGACCGUGUUCGUUUAAGCGAUUGCGGUGUUCGCCGGGUACAUGGCACCAGAAACCCGGCAUU
rnacentral:tmRNA from 1 species